GCCUCCUGCGGAUUCCGAGUUGCCUUUCGACUUCCCCAGGGAAGAAACGCCCGGGAAAAGAAAAAGCAGGAGAGUGAUCCAGGACUGAGUUCAGUGACCCGAAGGCACGUAAGGAAGCCAGCCCUGUUUUCCCAGGAGUGAGGUGUGGCCAGAAGGGAGAAAAGACGACAGUUGGACAAGUAUUACAGUACUGAACAUCUGGAAGUACUGAACAUCUGGAAGUACUGCUCUCAGUUAAGUGGCUGCUUCAUCUCCACCAUUCCCCAUCAUAUGAGGAUGACCAUCACCAUAAAAAUGCCUGAAGACAAGAGACAGGCAGCCAGUGUUGACCUCUUUGCUUCUUUCCUGAUCAGGGCAUGAGAUAUGGGUCACAGCACUAGCUCUGAGGUUGACUGCUGGCACUUCAUAGCUUUAGUGCUAAUGUUUUUGGUAAUUCAAGCACCACGUGCAAGACAGCAUCCUUCCAAAAGCCUCACUGGAGAAGGGUCUUCUUUGCCUGGACAUUUUAAAUCUGCCUAAACAUCCAAAAAAGGCAGGAAAAGGAGGCUGUAUUGAGUUACUUUUCCCCUUGCCCAUUGGUAAAGAAACUACACACUAGCAGAGGAAAACCAGCACUGAAGGUGGGAAGUAAAGUUUAGUGCAAAUUAAAAAUGCCCUACUCAUUCACAGCACCAAGCAAACUCGACCCCAAGGCCCAAGCACUGCAACCCAGGUGAAGAAAAGAAGCAAUGACCCUGCCUCCAACUGAGCUGUGGGCAUGGCUGAGAAACAAACAGCAUAAAGAUGUCAAAGUGUUUUGGUGUAAAAAGAGGAAGGAAGCCUGAGUCAGAGAUAAGAAGAAAUACAGUUUAACAGCAACAGACACACAGAAUAAUGUUACUUCUCCCCUCUAUGGAGAUGUCAUAAAAGAGGCAACAAUUUUUUAAGGGAUGCAUGUCUCACUCCUGACCUUACUAAGUAGCUCUCCUUCCAGUGCAAGGCUUUAAAAAGGGAAUUUGCACACUUGCCUUUUCAGGAAGUGUUUUCACAGGACCCAGUGGGGAGGCACGGGGCUUGCUGGCUACCCGGGACCACUCCCUGGGCAAAAGUGAGGAUCAGUUCCAAGCCUGAUGACUGAUUUCUAGGAUCAACACUCAUCAGAUAAGAUAUAUUUAUAUUGCUUCACAUAAGCAAUAUAAAUCCAUCCAUUUACCACAUGUAUCCCAAACAUCUUUACAGUUUUUUUGUUGUUUUUUUUUUUUUUUGUCCUUUGGUCUUUUUUUCUUUCAAGUAACCUGACUCUGGUCACUGCUAUUUCAGAAAAAAAUGUGCUAGAGGAGUGUUUUAAAGCUACUCUGACCUCUGUUUGUUUCAGAACACUUCAAAACACCAGAUUCAACAACAGCUUGAAUUAAAAUAUAUACAGCCCAUUCACUCCAGAGCCAAGCUGCUUGGUCUUAACUGCAAUGUGACUGCCUGCUCCUCUGAAGGGAAGCAUUAGCUGUGGCACUGAACUGCUGUUUGCUGUAAGCAUCAAGCCCUCCCCUUAGCUGUUAGUGUCACAACGUGCUGAACAACCCAUGCCACUCUAAAAUUGCUACUUAUUACCCUUUCAGCACUUUCACCCCCCAAAACAAUUGACCUAGUUCAUAGCAAAUCCACUGUGCAAUCUGUAACGUGUAUCUCUCCAGAGAUGCUGUCAAUGCCAACAAAUCCUGUUGUUUAUUAUUUACAUCAAGCUUGUUUCUCCCAGCGCCAAGCUGGGUUUUCUUUUUCCCCCACUUUUCUCAAGCUGAAAUGCCUUUGUAAAGAAAACACAACACUGAGGACAUUGGGAAGUUCUGAACUGCUUUGGCGAAGAUCUUUCAGCACAUCUGCUUUAUGAUCCAGAAAUGAAGCACUUUUCAUUAAAGAUGCAAAAAUGCUCACUGCUAAAACAAGCCUGUUUUGACCAUCACUGCUCCACCCUGUCUUCUGAAGGUUUUCCACCAGCAAAUGUGUAUAUUCCUGUUUGAUGUAACACAUGAUUUUGAACAGGCUUAAAAUA